rnacentral:rRNA from 1 species
GUGGGGAAUAUUGGGCAAUGGGGGAAACCCUGACCCAGCAACGCCGCGUGAAGGAAGAAGGUUUUCGGAUCGUAAACUUCUAUCCUUGGUGAAGAUAAUGACGGUAGCCAAGAAGGAAGCCCCGGCUAACUACGUGCCAGCAGCCGCGGUAAUACGUAGGGGGCAAGCGUUGUCCGGAAUGAUUGGGCGUAAAGGGCGCGUAGGCGGCCUGGUAAGUCUGGAGUGAAAGUCCUGCUUUUAAGGUGGGAAUUGCUUUGGAUACUGUCGGGCUUGAGUGCAGGAGAGGUAAGCGGAAUUCCCGGUGUAGCGGUGAAAUGCGUAGAGAUCGGGAGGAACACCAGUGGCGAAGGCGGCUUACUGGACUGUAACUGACGCUGAGGCGCGAAAGUGUGGGGAGCAAACAGGAUUAGAAACCCCUGUAGUCC